rnacentral:rRNA from 1 species
AGUGAACGCUGGCGGUAGGCCUAACACAUGCCAGUCGAACGGCAGCACAGUAAGAGCUUGCUCUUACGGGUGGCGAGUGGCGGACGGGUGAGGAAUACAUCGGAAUCUACUUUUUCGUGGGGGAUAACGUAGGGAAACUUACGCUAAUACCGCAUACGACCUACGGGUGAAAGCAGGGGAUCUUCUGACCUUGCGCGAUUGAAUGAGCCGAUGUCGGAUUAGCUAGUUGGCGGGGUAAAGGCCCACCAAGGCGACGAUCCGUAGCUGGUCUGAGAGGAUGAUCGGCCACACUGGAACUGAGACACGGUCCAGACUCCUGCGGGAGGCAGCAGUGGGGAAUAUUGGACAAUGGGCGCAAGCCUGAUCCAGCCAUACCGCGUGUGUGAAGAAGGCCUUCGGGUUGUAAAGCCCUUUUGUUGGGAAAGAAAAGCAGCAGGUUAAUACCCCGCUGUUCUGACGGUACCCAAAGAAUAAGCACCGGCUAACUUCGUG